AUGGAGGAAAAUACUCCUGCGCUUCAUCCUCCUUGGACAUUGGUGAAAUCAAAUAAAGCUUCAGAUAGAGGGAAUACUGAUUGGUUUCAGAAAUUCCAUGAUGCAAAGAUCAUAGCUAACUGUUGGAAUCAGAAUAUCAGGGGCUCUGUGAUGUACAGUAUGUGGAUUAACUUGAUGAAGUUGCAGAGUAAGUUGAAGCCUCUGAUCAGAAAAUGUUCUAACAUUCAAAUCUAA